AGGUCAGUACUGAAGAUGUGGACCGAGGUUAUGACCAAACGGUCUGUGACCAGGCUAGGUACAGCCCAAACUAAUCUGGGACCAGGCUAGGUACAGCCCAAACUGAUCUGGACCAGGCUAGGUACAGCCCAACACUAACUGGGACCAGGCUAGGUACAGCCCAAACUGACCUGGGACCACGGCUAGGUACAGCCCAACGACCUGGGACCAGGCUAGGAACAGCCAAAACUGACCUGAGGACCAGGCUAGGUACAGCCAAACUGAUCUGGGACCAGGCUAGGUACAGCAAAAACUGAUCUGGACCAGGCUAGGAACAGCAAAAACUGUCUGGGACCAGGCUAGGAACAGCAAAAAACUGAUCUGGGACCAGGCUAGGAAGCCAAGCCGGACGGCUAGACAGCCAAAACUUCUGGGACCAGGCUAGGUACAGCCCAAACUAAUCUGGGACCAGGCUCGGUACAGCCCAAACUGACCUGGGACCAGGCUAGGAACAGCCAAAACUGACCUGGGACCAGGCUAGGUACAGCCCAAACUGAUUGGGACCAGGCUAGGAACCAGCCCCAACUGAUCUGGGACCAGGCUCGGUCAGUGCCUUUUUUUAUGUUUCAGAUCCCAGAGACAAGGAGUGUGCUUUAGUCAUAAAAUCCCAUUAACGUUGCACACACUGUAGGAUUUUUCUGUGAGUUGUUAUUAUGUCAGAUCUCUUUGAUUUCUAGUUCAUCCACAGAGACCUGGCAGCCAGGAACCCUGGUGGGAGACAACUUUGUGGCCAAGAUAGCCGACUUUGGUCUGUCCAGAGGUCAGGAGGUCUAUGUGAAGAAGACGAUGGGACGGUUACCUGUCAGGUGGAUGGCCAUAGAAUCAUGAACUACCGUGUCACACCACCAACAGUGAUGUGUGAGUACUGCAUCUUUCAUCUAUUUAAAAAAAAUGGGAAUGGAAUGUUCUUAGAAGUAAGUGUCCAGACACCUUUUUUGUGAUUUCCCUAGUUUUUGUGAAACUUACCCUAAACAGCAAAUCACUUCCUCAUACUCGUUGUGUAUUAUGGGGGGCCCUGAAAAUCAUGAACAAAGGCUCCCAAAAAACACCCCCAAAACGUCCUUUUAGAAAGGGAAAAGCUCUCGAACCAGUGAUGCAGGUCUUCGUUUAAACUGUUUCAUACCGAAUACGCUAAGCUGUUUCAUACCGAAUACGCUAAGCUGUUUAUACUGAUCUUUAUCCGCAACGUUACAGUGGGGCAAAAAAGUAUUAGUCAGCCACAAUUGUGCAAGUUCUCCCACUUAAAAAGAUGAGAGGCCCUGUAAUUUUCAUCAUAGGUACACUUCAACUAUGACAGACAAAAUGAGGGAAAAAAAUCCAGAAAAUCACAUUGUAGGAUUUUUAAUGAAUUUAUUUGCAAAUUAUGGUGGAAAAUAAGUAUUUGGUAAUGUACAAACAAGCAAGAUUUCUGGCUUUCACAGACCUGUAACCUUCUUCUUUAAGAGGCUCCUCUGUCCUCCACUCAUUA
rnacentral:lncRNA from 1 species